UAAAUAUUUUGCGAGUCAAAUAGGCUUUUUUGGGGAUAGAGGGACUUGAA
rnacentral:tRNA from 1 species